rnacentral:lncRNA from 1 species
CCUAAUUAAAAUAAGUUAAUUAAUUAAUUAAAAAAAUAAAGUAGGAAAGUUGAAAUCCUCCCUAAAAGAUGAUGAAUCGCAUGACAAUUUGAGCAUCACAUGGCUCUAGCCCAGAUAAGAUUGUUGGAGAAGAAAUUAUAAUGCCUUGGAAGGUUACAUAUCAGUUGCCACCUUCUCUCUUCGGGGUAAACAGUCAUGAUGAAAGUACACAAAAUAUUUUUUCCUUUCUUUUCUGAUACAGGAGAUUGAACCCAGAGACACUCUACCACCGAGCUAUAUCCUGGCCCCUUUUAAAAAUUUUUGUUUUGAGAGGGUCUCUUUAAAUUGCUGAGGCUAGCCUCAAACUUGCAAUUCCGCCUCAGCCUCCUGAGUAUCUGGGAUUAAAGAUGUGCACCACCACACACCCAGGCACAAAAACAUCUUUUUAUUGAUGAGGUACAGAAUAAUGUUACUAAAGGGCUAAGACUGAUAGAUAAAACCAAUAAAGUGCUCUUAAUACAAAUGAUUUCUCUGAAUCUGAUUGUCUUUUAACCCACAAGGACAUUUAACCAGCAUGUCGUUCCCAUGGCAUGAGACUAUAGUCUGUAAUACAGAAGGAAACACAUGAUCUACCUAUGUUGGGCAUCCCCAAGAUCAUCCUCAGAUUUAGUGAUGCACUAGAUGAACUCACAGGACUUAGUUGUAUUUAUAGCUAAGAUUUAAUAUACCAGAAGGAUACAAAGAAAAAUCAGCAAAGAAGAAAGUCACAUAAAAUGAAGUUUGCAAGAGACCCAUGGAAUAACACAAAUGCAUAACUACUCCAGCAUCAAAGUGACAAAAGUUGUGAACUGUUGUCUACCAUGGAAGUUCAUCAGAGACUCAGAAGAUGCUAGAAACUAUCCCAAAUCCAGCAGUCUUGGGCCUCCAAUAACUCCCAGCAAGCUACCCAAAUGAGGAAUUCCUGUAAAUCUGUGUAUGCAUAAAUAUCUAUAUAUGCUCAUAUGUAUAUAGACUUUCCAAAAGGAUGCAUGAGAAAGUUAGAACAGUGUUUGCCUCUGGAGAGGGGAAAAAAAAAUAGGUGUCUGGGGAAAAAUGGGAUGAAGGAGACAUUAUUUACUCUUUUGCUCUUUUGAAUCUCAUAUCAUCAGAGCAAGAUUUAAUUAACUGUAUGUUAAAUAUCUUUAACUAAUUUAACUUUUGUCCUUUUUCUCCUCUAGAUGUAAGUAGAACAAAAUAUUCUCAUUUGCCCCAAGCUUUUUCCUAGAAUGAAAACUCCUCCAAAGGUACAAACAGAAUUAUCUGGCCAUACCUAGUGGCUCACGCAUGAAAUCCCAGCAAUUCGGGAGGCUGAGGCAGGAGAACUGCAAGUUUCCAGGUCAGCCUCAGCAACUUAGCGAGGACCCUGUCUCAAAAGUCAAUAUUUUUUAAAAACUUUUUUAGUUGUAAUUGUCCAAUUAUUUUAUUUAUUUAUUUUUAUGUGGUGCUGAGAAUCAAACCCAGGGCCUUGCACGUGCUAGGCAAGCGCUCUACCACUGAGCCACAACCCCAGCCCCAAAAGUCCAUAUUUUUGAAAAGGUCUGGGUAUGUGGCUCAAUGCCUAUGGGUUCCAUUCCCAGUAUCCCUCACCCCAAAAUGUAUUACCUGUAGUUUAUAGCUAAAGUCAGACAUAGCCCCAAAUUGUGUUUUCUAUAGCAUCUUUUAUUGUAUAUAAUAGUGCGGGUGUCCCUGGGGGGACCUAAAUACUUCACGUGAAAUAGCCUUGACCCUGUAAACAACCUAGUUAUCAAUAGUUAUAUAAAAAUCACAUUCAGAUUAUGAGUGUGCCAGUAAUUAGCUCAGAUUAUUUCAAAUAGCCUCUUGUAGUCAUCUUUUUGUUUCCUAGACUUUAGACUUUCCAUUCUCUGACCCAUCCAACAAUUCUAAGGUUUUUAAACUGCAGUUUUGAUAAGAAACCCCUGCAAAACUUCUUAAAACUCAAUGUGAGUCCAAUAUGUAGAGAUUCUCAUUCAUUAGUCUUGUUUGGGGCCCAAGAAUGUGAAUUUAAAACAAGAGUCUCAGGUGAUUGUGAUGCAGGUGGGUCGUGGCAUAUCAUUUGAGAGGCACUAUUCUAAUUAAUAUUUUUAUAAUUUUUCUAAAGUACAUUUCUGUUAUUUCACUACCUUUUCAAAAACAGUUCCCU